rnacentral:rRNA from 1 species
AGUGAACGCUGGCGGUAGGCCUAACACAUGCAAGUCGAACGGCAGCACAGUAAGAGCUUGCUCUUACGGGUGGCGAGUGGCGGACGGGUGAGGAAUACAUCGGAAUCUACUUUUUCGUGGGGGAUAACGUAGGGAAACUUACGCUAAUACCGCAUACGACCUACGGGUGAAAGCAGGGGAUCUUCGGACCUUGCGCGAUUGAAUGAGCCGAUGUCGGAUUAGCUAGUUGGCGGGGUAAAGGCCCACCAAGGCGACGAUCCGUAGCAGGUCUGAGAGGAUGAUGGGCAACAUGGGGACUGAGAUACGGCCCAGACUGCUGGGGGAGGCAGCAGUGGGGAAUAGUGAAGAAUGGGAGGAAGCAUGAUGCAGCAACGCCGAGGGCGGGAUGAAGGCCUGCGGGUGGUAAAAAGCUUGCGCCGGUGACGAAGCGGGAGGGACGGUAAUGGGUAAAGAAGCACCGGCUAACUACGUG